rnacentral:rRNA from 1 species
ACUCCUACGGGAGGCAGCAGUGGGGAAUAUUGCACAAUGGGCGCAAGCCUGAUGCAGCCAUGCCGCGUGUAUGAAGAAGGCCUUCGGGUUGUAAAGUACUUUCGGCGAGGAGGAAGGCGAUAAGGUUAAUAACCUUGUCGAUUGACGUUACUCGCAGAAGAAGCACCGGCUAACUCCGUGCCAGCAGCCGCGGUAAU